GAUGAACGCUAGCUACAGGCUUAACACAUGCAAGUCGAGGGGAAACGACAUCGAAAGCUUGCUUUUGAUGGGCGUCGACCGGCGCACGGGUGAGUAACGCGUAUCCAACCUGCCCAUCACUUGGGAAUAACCUUGCGAAAGUAAGACUAAUACCCAAUGACAUCCCACGAAGACAUCUGAAUGGGAUUAAAGAUUUAUCGGUGAUGGAUGGGGAUGCGUCUGAUUAGCUUGUUGGCGGGGUAACGGCCCACCAAGGCAACGAUCAGUAGGGGUUCUGAGAGGAAGGUCCCCCAGAGUGGAACUGAGACACAGUCCAAACUCCUACGGGAGGCAGCAGUGAGGAAGAUUGGUCAAUGGGCGAGAGCCUGAACCAGCCAAGUAGCGUGCAGGAUGACGGCCCUAUGGGUUGUAAACUGCUUUUAUAAGGGAAUAAAGUGGGUCUCGUGAGACUUUUUGCAUGUACCUUAUGAAUAAGGACCGGCUAAUUCCGUG
rnacentral:rRNA from 1 species